rnacentral:rRNA from 1 species
GAUGAACGCUGACAGAAUGCUUAACACAUGCAAGUCUUUGGCGAAGCUGUGCUUGCACAGCCUAGCCAAGGCGGACGGGUGAGUAACGCGUAAGGAACUUGCCCUGCAGUCAGGGAUAACAGACGGAAACGACUGAUAAGACCUGGUAAAGUCAGGCGGACUCAUGUCCAGCCUGAUGAAAAGAGAUGCUGCAGGAGAGCCUUGCGUCCUAUUAGCUUGUUGGUGGGGUACGGCCCACCAAGGCGAUGAUAGGUAGCCGGCCUGAGAGGGUGGACGGCCACAAGGGGACUGAGAUACGGCCCUUACUCCUACGGGAGGCAGCAGUGGAGAAUAUUGGACAAUGGGGGCAACCCUGAUCCAGCAAUUCUGUGUGCACGAUGAAGGUUUUCGGAUUGUAAAGUGCUUUCAGCAGGGAAGAAAAAAAUGACGGUACCUGCAGAAGAAGCGACGGCUAAAUACGUG